GCGGCUUCCUGUCAAUUGGAUGUGUGCGUAGCAUGGGAGCUUCAAUGGGAUCGUAUAGAAGCUCAGAGGCUGCACCUGUCAUUCACAUAGACAGGUCAACUACUCGGACAUUAAUGUCUGGAUACAAAUUGGGUAGAUCUUGUAUGCCAUGCCCAACAUCAGAG